CUGGUCUCGUGGAAAUUCCUUGCAGUAACUUAGUAAAACGUUCUCAGCCUUCAGGGGUUACAUCCUGAGAGGUCAGUGUGUAAAGGAUGGGACGGUACAGACGGAGUGUGUGUGUUUACUGGAGUGAACAGUAACAGUAACAGUAACAGUGCCCCCCCCCUCCCUCCACAAUAUUUGAAAACCCCACUCAAAACAGCAGGACUUUUUUUUUUUUAAACAUGAAAUGCAUUUAAAUGUUAUGAAGUUCAUUUCCCCGGGUGUUUUAACAACACUUCUUCAUUAGAGAGCGCGUGACGAACAUCAAUAUCAAAAUAUAUAAUAUGGACAGGAGGAAAUGUUACUUUUGAAAACUUGUGCAGCGACUACAUACGGUAAAUGCGGACCAUGUUUAAGGGGAAAAGUUAGUAAAAAUUAAAUGUGAAGUAUCUUCUUCCAUGGGAUUCAUCUUCCAGCGGAUAAAUAUUCGCUUAUGGACGUUCUUUGAUCGACUGACUGGCGCUUUGAUCUCUAAGUACUAACGACGCUUUCGGCCUUCCCUUUGAUCAUCAGAGAGCUCCUUAUCUAUCUCUAGUCCUCUUAACUACGAGUAGCAGAUCUGGCCUCGCGCUGCGCUGCGCUCCACUUUUUACCUUCCACUUCUGCUCUGGUCGCUCCAGCAUGAGGAAGAUGAUGAUGAUGACGAAGAAGAAGCAGCAGCAGCUCCUUUCUUCGCACCUUCUUCACUCGCGCACCGAUACAAAGUGGUCCCGCGCGACACACUGAGCGAUACAAGGCUGAGCACGGUAGGCAGAAGGCAGAAGUGGGACGCGAACGCAGCGCAGGCCUCGUCGUGUGCGACGAACGAAAGGUGAGUCGCCGGACGCCGAAACAAAGCGGAACGCUGUCAAAGUUCUCAGCAGCGGUGACAGAAUUAAAUCGUUUUUCCUUCCUAAAAUACACAGGAGUACGAGGUUAACAAAGGGCGCACACACACCGACUGAAACGCGGCCAAAGAAGGGCACACACCUCCAACGCUUAGAGCUCUGCACUGC
rnacentral:lncRNA from 1 species